rnacentral:rRNA from 1 species
UACGUAGGGGGCAAGCGUUGUCCGGAUUUAUUGGGCGUAAAGCGCUCGCAGGCGGCCCGAUGCGUCGUGCGUGAAACACCCCGGCUCAACUGGGGAGGGUCGUGCGAUACGGUCGGCUUGAGGCCAGUAGGGGGAUGCGGAAUUCCGGGUGUAGUGGUGGAAUGCGUAGAGAUCCGGAGGAACACCAGCGGCGAAGGCGGCAUCCUGGACUGGUACUGACGCUCAUGAGCG